rnacentral:rRNA from 1 species
UACGUAGGGUGCAAGCGUUGUCCGGAAUUAUUGGGCGUAAAGAGCUCGUAGGCGGUUCGUCGCGUCGGCUGUGAAAACCCGGAGCUCAACUCCGGGCCUGCAGUCGAUACGGGCGGACUUGAGUGUUGCAGGGGAGACUGGAAUUCCUGGUGUAGCGGUGAAAUGCGCAGAUAUCAGGAGGAACACCGAUGGCGAAGGCAGGUCUCUGGGCCAUAACUGACGCUGAGAAGCGAAAGCAUGGGGAGCGAACAGG